rnacentral:rRNA from 1 species
AUUGAACGCUGGCGGCAGGCCUAACACAUGCAAGUCGAGCGGAUGAAGGGAGCUUGCUCCUGGAUUCAGCGGCGGACGGGUGAGUAAUGCCUAGGAAUCUGCCUGGUAGUGGGGGAUAACGUCCGGAAACGGGCGCUAAUACCGCAUACGUCCUGAGGGAGAAAGUGGGGGAUCUUCGGACCUCACGCUAUCAGAUGAGCCUAGGUCGGAUUAGCUAGUUGGUGGGGUAAGGGCCUACCAAGGCGACGAUCCGUAACUGGUCUGAGAGGAUGAUCAGUCACACUGGAAGUGAGACACGUCCCAGACUCCUACGGGAGGCCGCAGUGGGGAAUAUUGGACAAAGGGCGAAAGCCUGAUACAGCCAUGCCGCGUGUGUGAAGAAGGUCUUCGGAUUGUAAAGCACUUUAAGUUGGGAGGAAGGGCAGUAAGUUAAUACCUUGCUGUUUUGACGUUACCAACAGAAUAAGCACCGGCUAACUUCGUG